rnacentral:rRNA from 1 species
UACGUAGGCAGCGAGCGUUGUUCGGAGUUACUGGGCGUAAAGGGUGUGUAGGCGGUUGUUUAAGUUUGGUGUGAAAUCUCCCGGCUCAACCGGGAGGGUGCGCCGAAUACUGAAUGACUAGAGUGCGGGAGAGGAAAGUGGAAUUCCUGGUGUAGCGGUGAAAUGCGUAGAUAUCAGGAGGAACACCGGUGGUGUAGACGGCUUUCUGGACCGUAACUGACGCUGAGACGCGAAAGCGUGGGGAGCAAACAGG